UUCAGCAGGAUGGGGUGUGUUAAAGUUGUCAAGAAUAAGGCCUACUUUAUGAGAUACCAAGUGAAAUUUAGAAGACAAGAGAUAGAACUUGAGGGUAAAACUGAUUGUUACACUGGGAAACGCUUGGUGAUACAGGAUAAAAAUAAGCACAACACACCCAAAUACAGAAUGAUAGCUCGUGUAACUCACGUGUCAUUUAUCAGAUUGCCUAUGCCUGUGUCGCAGAGGAUGUGACAGUCUGCACAGCUUAUGCGCACGAACCACCAAAAUAUGGUGUGCAGGUUGGCCUGCAAAUUAUGCCGCAGCGUGUUGCGCAGGCAUGCUGCUGGCCCGCAGGUUGCUCAGCAGGUUUGGCGUGGACAAGGUCUGUGGAGGCCGAGUGGAGGUGCCUGGCCAGCCUGGGGCUUUCACGUGCUAUUUGGACGCGGGUCUUGCCAGAACUGCCACUGGCACUAAAGCUCUUGGAGCCCCGAAGGGAGCUGUGGGGUGGAGGCUUGCCUAUCCCUCGCAGUUCCAAAUGAUUCCCCGGUUAUGAUUCCGAAAGCAAGGAAUUUAAUGCUGCAGUACAUCGGAAGCACCAUCGUGGGGCCCAAUGUUGCAGAUUAUAUGCGUUAUCUAAUGGAGGAAGAGGAAGAUGCUUACAAGAAACAGUUCUCUCGAUACAGAAAGAAUGUUACUCCAGACACGACGGAGGAGACGUAUGAGAAAGCUCAGGCUGUUAUACGAGAUAGUCCGGUCUGUGAGAAGAAGCCCAAGAAAGAAGUUAAAAAGAAGAGAUGGAACCGUCCCCACAUAUCCCUUAUCCAGAAGAAAGAUUGGGUAGCUCAAAAGAAGGGAAGCUUCCUCAGAGCUCAGGAGCAGGCUGCUGAAAGCUAAACCAAACAGCAAUUUUCUAUGAGGAUUUUUCUGAUAAAGACAAUAAACUUAUUGACUAAGCAGCUAAAA